rnacentral:rRNA from 1 species
UACGUAGGGGGCAAGCGUUUGUCCGGAAUCAUUGGGCGUAAAGCGCGCGUAGGCGGCCCGGUAAGUCCGCUGUAAAAGUCCAGGGCUCAACCCUGGAAAGCCGGUGGAUACUGUCGGGCUAGAGUCCGGAAGAGGCGAGUGGAAUUCCGUGGUGUAGCGGUGGAAUGCGCAGAGUAUCAGGAGGAACACCGGUGGCGAAGGCGGAUCUCGUGGGCCG